GAGAUAAAAGCAUUCUAUAUGUGGCAAAAUGAUGAUGGGAAGACUGUGGUAGCUAUGGAUAUGUUGGUUCUCCGGGUGAUAAGGAGAAAUCAUUUCAUGUGUCCUCUGAAUAGUUUCUUGUAGAAAUUUACUACUGCCUAAAGUUAUUCUAGAGGAUAAACUACUGUUGUUGGAUGUGUCUCGAACACUUUCCAGUUCCACAUUACUUUUAUUUAUUUUUAUGUUUUCAUUUGUUUUUUGUUUUUUGUUUUUUGUUUUUGUUUUUGUUUUUGUUUUGUUUUUUUUUUUUUUUUUAAAUUAUGAUGUUAUACUGCAUUUUACAAAGCAUGAAAAUGCAUGUUUUGGGUCAAUCAAUUUGCAAAAUAGUAGGGAUACAGAGGAAGAGCAUUCUAAAACCCCAAGGUUGUUUGUGGUUUAGCAAUCUAAUCUGUUGACAGUAAAGUCCAGGUUCAGUAUAUCAUGCCACUUUCAAGCUAAUUUCAUGUCAUUUGUGGCAUUAUUGUUCCCAUGUUAGGUCCAGAUGGUCUAUAUUUUCCCAUGGUUAUACUUGACAUCGUAUUAUAUAUAUGUCUAUAUGUAAUGGGAAAGGUCAUGAAUGAGCUUUAGACGAGUCUCAUGUUUAUUGAUACUGUUAUAUAAUAUGUUGUGGUUGUGCUUUUGUCAGGUUAGAGAGCUUAUCGGUGGAAGCCAGAGAGAAGAGAGGCUUGAAUAUUUUAGAAAACUGGUUGGAUGAAUUAAAGGCUGAAUAAGGAGGCAUACUGGCGGAAAGUGUACACAAAUAUAAAGGAAGAGGACAUGGCAUAUUGAAGUAAUGCUUGGGGAAGAGACGGAUAGUGGGCUCGAGAUUGCUGUCUAUUUUGUACCUUUAUGCAGUCUGCAAAUCUAGAGGAGUUCGAAGAAGAAUUUAAGGGUAUUAACCAAGAAGAGCAGAUCUGCAGACUUCACAAAAUGCUCGCUCCUUAUCUUCUUUCAAGUAUAAAUGUAAAACUCUAUUAAGCAUAUGUAAAUGUGCACUGUUUCAGAGUAUGUAAAUGUUCAACGUUUCUUAAGACUGAAUGUGAAAUUUAGCAAGCAAACAAACCUGCAGCAUUGCGCGGGCUAUCUCGCUAGUAAUAGCUAUUUAUUAUGAGAAAAUUACUGUUUGUUUGGUCAA